rnacentral:rRNA from 1 species
UACAGACGGUCCAAACGUUAUUCGGAAUCACUGGGCUUAAAGAGUUCGUAGGCGGUCAGGAAAGUGGGGUGUGAAAGCCCUCGGCUUAACCGAGGAAUUGCGCUCCAAACUCCCUGACUUGAGGAGGCUAGAGGUAAGCGGAACUGAUGGUGGAGCGGUGAAAUGCGUUGAUAUCAUCAGGAACACCGGAGGCGAAGGCGGCUUACUGGGGCCUUUCUGCGCUGAGGAACGAAAGCUAGGGGAGCGAACGGGAGU